UCUCUUUUAUAUAUUUAUCGUAUUUGCAUAAUCUAUUUUAUAUUAUCGCAUUUAGAAUAUUAUAUAAACCACUACUAUACAUUAGUAUUUCUAUUUUUAUCUAUAUAUGUUUUAUAUUUAUUUUAUUUGCAUUUUAAUUUUUCAGUUAUUUAUUUAUUUAUAUUUAAUUUCUGUUUUUGUUUUUGUUUCAGUUUUAUUUUUUAUUUUCGUCUUUACUUUUAUAAAAUUAUGCAAGUCAAAGAAAC
rnacentral:lncRNA from 1 species